rnacentral:rRNA from 1 species
GCCUACGAUCACACUACGUUGAAAGCACCGCAUCCCAUCAGAUCUGCGCAGUUAAACAGCGUUAGGCCCCAUCAGUACCUUAGCUGUUGACAGCAGGAGACGUUCAGUGUCGUAGACA